rnacentral:rRNA from 1 species
CUGCCCAGUGAUCAAUAACAUGAUUUAACGGCCGCGGUACCCUAAUCGUGCAAAGGUAGCAUAAUCAUUUGCCCUAUAAUUGAGGGCUUGUAUGAAUGGUUUGACAAGAACAAUACUGUCUCUUAAAAAUUUACUAAAAUUUGGUUUUUAGGUGAAGAAACCUAAAUAAAAUUGAAAGACAAGAAGACCCUAUCGAGCUUAAAAAAUACGUUAACUAUAUAGAAAAACAAACUAACGAAAAAAUUUGGUUGGGGCGACUAAGGAACAAAUAAAACUUCCUUUAAUAUAAAAAACUUAUAUGUAUUGAUCCAAAAUAUUUGAUUAAAAAAAUUAGUUACCGUAGGGAUAACAGCAUAAUCUUUUUAGAGAGAACAUAUCGAAAAAAAGGUUUGUGACCUCGAUGUUGGACUAGGAUAUCCUAAUAGAUUGCAGAAGUCUUUAAAGG